UUUAGAUUUAAUUAAAAUUCAGAAUAAAAGUAGUUAAGUUCUUCAUAACUCAAAGAAUUUGGCGGUUAAUAAAAGUUUCAGAGGAACCUGUAUAUUAAUUGAUAAACCACGAUAGUUAUUACCUUUUUUUUAUUUGUAUAUCUCUAUAUUAUGGAGUGUUUUUUAAGAAUUUAUUCUCUUUUAGAUUUAAUCAUUAAUUUUAGGUCAAGGUGCAGUUUUAAUAAGGUUUAUAUGGGUUACUUUAUUUUUUAAUAUUAAUUUUUUUAAUUUAUUAAGAUUUAUUUAUAAUAGGAUUUGAUAGUAAUUUAAAUUUAUUAAUUUUUUUGAAUAUUUUUUUAUUAAUGU
rnacentral:rRNA from 1 species